UACGUAGGGGGCAAGCGUUGUCCGGAAUCAUUGGGCGUAAAGCGCGCGUAGGCGGCCCGGUAAGUCCGUUGUGAAAGUCAAAGGCUCAACCUUUGAACGCCGAUGGAUACUGCCGGGCUAGAGUCCGGAAGAGGCGAGUGGAAUUCCUGGUGUAGCGGUGGAAUGCGCAGAUAUCAGGAGGAACACCAAUAGCGAGGGCAGCUCGCUGGGACGGUACUGACGCUGAGGCGCGAAAGCGUGGGGAGCGAACAGG
rnacentral:rRNA from 1 species